AGGACGAACGCUGGCGGCGUGCUUAACACAUGCAAGUCGAACGGAAAGGCCCGCUUGCGGGUACUCGAGUGGCGAACGGGUGAGUAACACGUGGGCAACCUGCCCUCAGCUUCGGGAUAACACUUGGAAACAGGUGCUAAUACCGGAUAAUAACCUUUCAUCGCAUGGUGGUUGGUUCAAAGUUUUUCGGCUGAGGAUGGGCCCGCGGCCUAUCAGCUUGUUGGUGGGGUAAUGGCCUACCAAGGCGACGACGGGUAGCCGGCCUGAGAGGGCGACCGGCCACACUGGGACUGAGACACGGCCCAGACUCCUACGGGAGGCAGCAGUGGGGAAUAUUGCGCAAUGGGCGGAAGCCUGACGCAGCGACGCCGCGUGAGGGAUGACGGCCUUCGGGUUGUAAACCUCUUUCAGCUCUGACGAAGCGUAAGUGACGGUAGGAGCAGAAGAAGCACCGGCCAACUACGUGCCAGCAGCCGC
rnacentral:rRNA from 1 species